CAGGCACGGAAGCAUCUAGAGAGUUUUGAGGCUACUCACUGCACCCCUCUCCCACCCAGUGCAUUUCAUACCCCUUGGAGAAUAUAACUUAUUGGAAAAGUUGUGGGACUAAAUACCACUGUCUGAGCCACACACCAGCUGAUCCUGUACCUCCUGUGUCCUACCACCCAAUGCUCUUUUAUGAAUGGCAGCUAAUGCAGGUGAAAGAUAAAUGGAAGCCAUCCUGAUCGCCUUUUAUCUCUUGGACUAUUAAUUUUUUUUAUUUUUAAUUAAAUGGGUUUCUGUAUUGAAGGGGCAAAAUGAACAUAAGGUUAAAAUCUGAAGGAAAGUCUGAGUAAUAGCUAUUAAAAUGUGAAUGCUUCUACCAAGAUUUACUUUCAAGUGUCAUGCAGUUGGAAAUAUUUUGUCAUUCACACAGUCGCCACAGGGUGUCACUGUCACACCACUAGCAAAAUACUUCCUGUAAUAUACAAAGUGACCACAUGGUGUCACUGUCACUAGUUACAAUAUAUGUUUGCAAAACAAACACGCACAAAAAAGGGGGGAUACUUAUUGUAGAGUGCUCCAGAAAGGAAGGGCCUAUCCCUGAAGACAUCAAAUGGAAGAAAAUAAAUAUCCAGGCACACCUGAGGUUCUGAAAUUCUCCACUUCCUUGUUUCAAAUAAAAAGGCUGCAUUUUAGAAGAAACCUCAGAUGUGCCUGGAUAUUUUUCUUCCAUUAGUUACUCGAUCCACCAGUGAGAGCAUUUCCUCAAAGUAAACCAGGAUUUGUCAAUCUUAAAUACCAUGCUCAGCAACCCCGCUAAACUAAUUUUCUCUACACAAGAGAUCCUCAACAUGAUGGAUAAAUUAUUAGUUUUUUAGCAUUUAGUGAUUUACUUAUUAGACUGUCUCACGUGGUGGUUUAAACUGCUUCAGACUGUCUGGAUGGGUUUUUUUAAAAUACAGGAAUAGAUUUAUAAAAGUAAAGCAUAAAUAAUGUAAUAAACCUUUUAAACUUGAUUUGCGAUUAAUGGGGAAAAAAUGAGUUAAAGAAAAGCCAGAUUUUAAGGUAUUAAAUGACUUUGUACACAUUUUUUUGACUUUGUACACAUCUCUAAUAACCAGAAGGAGUGACAGCAUUUUGGGAAGCAAGAGGUCCAAAAUGUUAUUAUAGCUCUUUAUAAUGACCUGCUUGCAGAGUUUUGUCUCUGGAGGGGAAAAAAAUAAUUUCUUCAUUAAGCCCAAAUUUCAAUUAAUUAAAAGACAUUUCUCAUUCAGGCAAAAAAAUGCUUGUUUCAAAAAAUGUCUCCAAAUUUACUGUAGUCACAUUGUGGCUUUCAGCACAAAUUUCUGACGUUUAGGGAAUAAACCAUAAAUUCUUGAUAAUGUAUGAGCUGUGAUUGACUUUGAUAAAGUUAGAGUUUUUAGUAUGAAUGAUUGAACAUCCAACCCUCUUACAAACACGUCAGACCUGCUUGUCUUCUGAGAGCCAGUCCUGCUGAUGAAACAAGCUAUUUUUUUUCCUUUAACUCUUUGUUCUACAUCCUGCUUUAUUUAUUAAAAUAUUUAACAAGGAAAAGGUACAUUUUGCUCUGCGAAUCACUAAUGUGUGAAUUGGUGGGAAAUCAGAGCUGACUUGGAGAAUUUGGCUGUUUUAGCUUAAACCUGAAAUCCUUUAUGCAUUGCCAACAAGUCACCCUUUAGUGAAUAACUCUGUUCACAUUCACCAUCUUUCAACCACUUCGUAGGGUCUAGAUGUUAUUAAGCAAAAAGGGAUGGGGCUGCGCCACAAUAUAAAAAGUAGAUAAAUAUAAAUCCUAGUUUGGAUAAGAGUCCAGGAGGGUGGAACUGAAAUCCUGUGCUGGUCUCUGGGGCUGCGGACUUCCGCUUCUUGCAGUGGUUAAAUAUAAAGGGCCACUCUCCAAUUAUUUUCAAGGGCACAUGAGGGAGUCCUUGUUUGAAAUUGCUGCCUCUUCCUCUUAGGAUUUACUAGCGCUGACUCUCUUCUAGAUGUUAUUACCCAACUCAUUGCUACUUUUUGCAAAGAGACAUCGUCUGAGAAUAUUUUACCUUCUGUCUUCCCUGUCUCUCCCAGAACACAGACUAGUCUAAAGGGAGUUCCAUAGGAGCAGUGCAGGACUAGCGAUGUCUUUAUAGUGAGUGUUAGCAGAGGACAGGCAGGGUCUGGGAUGAGAUAAUAUAAGCUUAGCACGCUAAAGAGUUCUGGAGCCAGUCACUGGGAUUUGUUUUACCAGGAUCUGGAGACCGGAUAAAAGGACUGAAGGGAGAUGUUGGAAUCGAAGAGAGGAGGCAGCAAUCCUAUAGAGUUUAUGGUUGUACUGUAGACCUGGAGGGAGACUAGUAUGGGAGAAGUGCUUGUAGGAAAGGAAUUCUGUGGUUUCUUCAUGCUUCCUUCUGGGGUGUGAGAACAGUCAAUAUGGUGAGGGGAUAGUGGAGACAGGUGGAGCUCUCCUUAUUAAGGACUUCAAGUAGCCCCUUCGUCCCUGGCCCUUCACACACAUGCAUUCUUUCUCUCUCCAUUUAUCCAGAAACUCUGAAUUCUAGCAAUUUACAAUGAUUGAGCAAUAGUCACAGCUAGGUUGUUUUGGUUUCCAUUUUACCAUUCAAAUUACAAUUUACUACAAAGUGUGGGGGUGAAUAAAUGUAAAUAUGUUUAGGUAUUUAGAUUAUUCACUAAACUCAGAAUUGUACCAAAAACAACAAUUGUACUAAAAUAGACAAUUUGGGCCUAGAACAGAGUGGGAGGAUUUUUCCAGAUCCGUUAUUUCAGCUCAGUUUUGCAUUCAGAGAUCUGUUUGGUGAAAUUCAGAUAUUUGGAAAUGAACUUGAGUUAUUGUUGAGAAUAAAAAAAAAAUCCCACCUUCAGGAUGAGACUGCUUUCCGGAUGUUUUUCGUGAGUGCUCGUCACCUUUUCUGCUGCUACUGGGAGGAGCUACUCGUGGGCUGGGUUAUAGUGAAUUAAUUGAAUGGGGAGAAAUGGAUUCUAUGUUUUCUAAAGCUUUUAAAUGAUGUAAUGAUGCAUGCAGAAACUAAGAAAUUCAAUUUUUUAAGUUACUUGUAUUUUCUUCCAGAAAUGAUCACAGAAUAGUGAGAUAAAUACAUAUACCAGUGUUGGAAAAUGUUAAAAUAUAUAUAGAUAGAUUCAUACCAAAUUACAUUAUCGGAUGUAAGCUCAACAGAAUAGCCAAGAUAAUCUACCCACAGGAUUCACAGUGCAUCGUCUGUUUAACUAACUCCAUGAUGGAUACAUUGACAUAUAAAGUGGACAGAGCCGUGUGGGAACAAGAAGUGGAUGCACCAAUUAGGAACCACAUGCUACUUGUAAACUUGGGAGAAUCUAAAUGACAGCAAAAAAAUCUUUUAUCAGGCUGUGUAAGUCAGGUCCUAGGGGGGACUGCUUAAUCUAUCUGCUGCCCCAUAUUGCAUUACUUCCCUUGUCUUCUAAUCCCCAACAUGGACCAUGUCUCUAGUGCAAAAACAAAUUAAUGUCCUGGAUCCACUAACAGUUUGGCACAAAGCCGCCCCCCAAGCAUUUCUCACAGUAGCAGAAUACAAGCAGGGGAUGUUGGGAUAUGUAGCGCUAUACAAGUGGUUCCCUGCUGGCUAGCUAGAAUUCAGCCAGCGAGCAGGAAGGAGACUGCACCAGAGUGCAUAGCUCCCCCUAGACACCAGGGACAGCACUGCACAGGAUAGCCAGAGUGUGCACCCCCUUCUCUCCUCAUAUUUGGGGAUGCUGGAGGAAAGGGAUUGGGAUUGUUGUUUCUUCAGGUUUGUCUAUUUCUUAAAGGAACACUACAAAGACCUAAAGCACUAGCUUUGUGGAAGUGCUGUGUGAAGAUUGUUUGUUUUCUUCCAGCAAAAAAUUAAACUUCUGCUCUCUGAGAAGUCUUCGCAAGGCAGGUGCUCUGGGUAAUUGCUGCCUCUUGAAUUUAGUUCCACUGAGCUAAUCAAACCAGGAAGUAAAAGGACCUGUAGUCUGAUUGACAGCCAGAGGAUGUAAUUUAUAAAAGCGCCAAUUUCAGUUGAAAUCUGUCCUUUUUGUAAAUUGACAACAACAAAAAGAGACAUUUACACAAAAAGCAAGUCAGCAAACUGGGCAUCUGGGGUUUCCAUUUAAGGAACACUGCAAAUGGUUUAAAUGUAGUACAUACUGUUUCCAGAAGGUGUCACUGUGCCACCCCAGCAGAAAUGUAUUCCAUUUUAACUACACAAUGUCACACCACAUGCUGUCAACAUAAUGAGCGGCUGCCAUCAAUAUAUAUUUAUAAAAUUAAACUAGAUUAGAGCAAGUGCAAACUACCAGCAGUUUGUGGGGAUUACAGUCCAUAAAUCUCACCAGCCAAAAUCUAAUCAAGGUCCAGGCAAGGUUUAGGGUCAUAGUUCACAGUGAAACAUCUGGAAGCUGGUAUUUGCAGUAAUCGAGUCUAAUUUAUAGACCAAAACCAGCUCUUCAUAAUGGCGCCAUCAUGUGGUGACGUUCUGAGUUACUCACUAAAGUGCAGAUUGUCAGGAAUUCAAAGACUGUUUAACAUUGUAUGUCAAUUUAUUUUUUAUAAGGGAAAAAUUACAGGUCAGCUAGGUCUCCAUUUGUUUUGAACCUAACAUUUAACAUUUAUUUUGAAUUACUGGCAAUUCACACUUUUAUGAAUAACCUCUAGACAGUCCAGGAUUUAGGCAUUACCCAAUUGUGUCUAAGGUGGUUUUAGAAAGAAAAAGAAAAAAAUAAACACUUUGGACAUAACAGGGUAAUCCCUAAAUCCUGGACUGGUACUUGAGGACUGGGUUGGGAACCUCUGCCCUAGACUGUAAGCUCGUUUGAGCAGGGUCCUCUUCAACCUAUUGUUCCUGUGACAUUUUGGAAUUGUCUCAUUGUUAAAUCUCCACCUCUGAUAUUGUAAAGCGCUACAAAGCAUAAGUUAUGUAACCGUCCUCAAAGUCAAGAGUCCUUUAGAAAGCACCAGUGCAUCAAUUGUGCUGCAUGUGACCAGUAAAAACGUCUUCAGUUCUUACAUCGAUGACACCCAUCCCAGUCUGCAUAUAUGCAGACAGACUGGAUUUUAAUUAAUAGAGGAUUUAAAGAGACACUUCAUUGCACAAGUACAAAAAUAGGGCCCGCUCUUCACACAUAAAGCAUUCAGCAGGUUAAAGUGCUUUAAAUGUUUGGAGCGUUCCUGUAAAGCUGACCUGAUCUUUCAUUGGCCACAGCCAGCAGUUACAUCAUCACACGUCACUCACUCCAAGGGAUUUAAUCAGCUCAGCUGUAUAACUCUAGGGUUCUGAUUGGCUGCUGAUCACAUGUUCUCAGCAGCUAUUUUGUUUUAACCCCUUGAGGACACGUGACAUGUCAUGAUUCCCUUUUCUUCCCAGAAGUUUGGUCAUUAACGGGUUAAACAAUAAUUGUCCAGGAGGGUUUGAACAUCUGUGGCAGCCAUUCCUAGGUUCCUAUGGCUUGGACACACCCUGUGCCUGUUAUACAUUGAUUGAAAGUGAUUUAUGGAAUGAAAACUUCAGGUGAGCGACAUUUUAUUAUAAUGAGCUCAGCCUAUAAAUCCCCACCGAUACGCAGCUUCUGGGAGUUUACUGGUCGCUAAGUGAAUGGUGAGUGUUGGGUCUGGGUAUCGGGGAAAAAAAUGCCAAAAAGAAAAUAAACCAAACUACAGUGUGUGUUCAUAAAAAACUGAAACCUGGUAAUAUUUGGCUGUGACUUUAAGGGACUUAUGUAUGGUCUUAACCUAGAGUUGCCUGCAUUCAGCAUUCAAUUUGCUACAAUUUGGAGUUUAGUGAAUAUAAUCUGGAUUCCCCAGGGAGCUCCCUGAAUACCAAGCUGGUUUACGUAGAGACGGUCACUGUCACCGUGGAGCUGGUAACGUAACAUUCUAAAUGCCAAUGAUGCUGUCAUUAUUUCACCAAGUGUAGAAAGUGUUACGUAAAAGUGACAGGGCUUCCUACAACCGUGUGUAAAUGAUAUAAUCGAGCAGGGUUGGAAAACCAUGUCCCACCACCUCUCAUUGGACUGGAGAUCUCCACACCCAUAGUUUACCUGGAGAAGAUUUAUCCAGCCAUCUCUGCUACGUUCUUUGGGCUGAAGCUUCCUCAAAUCACAGUCGCUUAUUUUAUUCUAUGAUGGAAAGAGAGUGGAUUCUAAUUUGGCCUUGUGAGCUAACAAUCUAUUCCUGUUUGUCAUUUUGUUAUCUGCACUGAAUUAUUAAAUGCUUAUUGUAAAAGCUGGGUCUGGCUAAUACCGCUAACGUGUCCAGCUCAAAAAGGUUCUCCAUCACUGGUCUAACCAUCCACAGUUAGCCUAUAUAGACAACUUUGCUGAAUAUAAAAUAUAAUUGACCGAGUUAUUCAAUAAAGGGAGAAUUUAAGGUCAAAGUAGCCCAUCCUGGAAACAUUCUCUGAGCCAGCUAUAUGUUCUGUUCGGCUACUCUGGCUUUAGAUUUGAAUUUCACUGUGAAUUCUCCAUUUGUAAGUUACCCUCUGAAAGGUAAAUCGUCCGGCAUUAAAUCUAAAUUUCAUAUUUUAGACCAAGAUAGAAAAAAAUUCUCAAGGGGGUCAGUCACUAAGCUGCAAACUCAAUUGAAUGGCAAAACCGAGGAUAGAAAUACAUUUUUGCAUUUCUGUUAUUUUGGCCUUUUUUUAUCUCUUUCAAUUCCAGUUUAGCAAAUAAUCCUGCAGGAGACACAUGUUUAGUUUGGAUAUUUUAUUUCACACUGGGAGCACAUGAAUCCCACAUACUGCUGGGCAGUCCAUUAUGAGCGCAUGAUGUCAUCAGUAAUGAAAUAUAUUUAAUCUUUAAUACCCAGGGCAGGACAAAAAAUCAACAUAAGUAAAACUGUGACAUACUGAGCACCAUAACUACCGCAGUGUAUUGUAUCUGUUUUGGUACCCUCGGUCUAGAAAUGGAUUUGUAGCAUUUUUGGUAUAGUUGAAGUCUGUAUUUAUACAAACUGUCUCUGUUAUCUCUGUGAAUGCCCCUGUACAACAAAAUGGGGGGGGGGGAGGGGUUUGUUUCCCCCGACACACUGUAACAAUGACACACCUAAUCUAACUGCUCCUUUAAUUACUGAAUCCCUCCGGCUUGUCUUAGUGUCCUUUGCCACAUGGAAAGUUCUGAUGUGACCGUGGAUGAAGAUGAAAUCUCAGAUGACG